UACGUAGGGUGCAAGCGUUGUCCGGAAUUAUUGGGCGUAAAGAGCGUGUAGGCGGCCAGGUAGGUCUGCUGUGAAAACUCGAGGCUUAACCUCGAGCUGUCGGCGGAAACCAUCUGGCUAGAGUCCGGAAGAGGAGAAUGGAAUUCCCGGUGUAGCGGUGAAAUGCGCAGAUAUCGGGAAGAACACCCGUGGCGAAGGCGGUUCUCUGGGACGGUACUGACGCUGAGGCGCGAAAGCGUGGGGAGCGAACAGG
rnacentral:rRNA from 1 species